rnacentral:rRNA from 1 species
ACUCCUACGGGAGGCAGCAGUGAGGAAUAUUGCGCAAUGAGCGAAAGCUUGACGCAGCCAGACCGCGUGCAGGAAGAAGGCCGUAAGGUUGUAAACUGCUUUUGAUAAGGAGGAAAAUCGGGGACUUGUCCCCGACUGACAGUACUUAUCGAAUAAGCACCGGCUAACUCCGUGCCAGCAGCCGCGGUAAUACGGAGGGUGCAGGCGUUAUCCGGAUUUACUAGGUUUAAAGGGUCUGUAGGCGGUAUCGUAAGUCAGUGGUGAAAUGUCUGAGCUCAACUGAGGCACUGCCAUUGAUACUGCGGAACUUGAGUACGGUUGCUGUUGGCGGAAUGUAUCAUGUAGCGGUGAAAUGCAUAGAUAUGAUACAGAACACCAAUUGCGAAGGCAGCUAACAAAGCCGUUACUGACGCUAAUAGACGAAAGCGUGGGGAUCGAACAGGAUUAGAUACCCUGGUAGUC